UGCUUUACCAUGCAGUCGAACGGUAACAGGGAGCUUGCUCCGCUGACGAGUGGCGAACGGGUGAGUAAUGCAUCGGAACGUACCCAGUCGUGGGGGAUAACGUAGCGAAAGUUACGCUAAUACCGCAUACGUCCUGAGGGAGAAAGCGGGGGACCGUAAGGCCUCGCGCGAUUGGAGCGGCCGAUGUCGGAUUAGCUAGUUGGUAGGGUAAAGGCCUACCAAGGCGACGAUCCGUAGCGGGUCUGAGAGGAUGAUCCGCCACACUGGGACUGAGACACGGCCCAGACUCCUACGGGAGGCAGCAGUGGGGAAUUUUGGACAAUGGGCGAAAGCCUGAUCCAGCCAUGCCGCGUGAGUGAAGAAGGCCUUCGGGUUGUAAAGCUCUUUCAGCCGGAAAGAAAUCGCGCAGGAUAAUACUCUGCGUGGAUGACGGUACCGGAAGAAGAAGCACCGGCUAACUACGUGCCAGCAGCCCCGGUCACCC
rnacentral:rRNA from 1 species